CCUACGGGAGGCAGCAGUGAGGAAUAUUGGUCAAUGGACGCAAGUCUGAACCAGCCAUGCCGCGUGCAGGAAGACGGCCCUAUGAGUUGUAAACUUCUUUUGUACGAGGGUAAACGCAGAUACGCGUAUCUGUCUGAAAGUAUCGUACGAAUAAGGAUCGGCUAACUCCGUGCCAGCAGCCGCGGUAAUACGGAGGAUUCAAGCGUUAUCCGGAUUUAUUGGGUUUAAAGGGUGCGUAGGCGGUCGGAUAAGUUAGAGGUGAAAUCCCGAGGCUCAACUUCGGAAUUGCCUCUGAUACUGUUCGGCUAGAGAGUAGUUGCGGUAGGCGGAAUGUAUGGUGUAGCGGUGAAAUGCUUAGAGAUCAUACAGAACACCGAUUGCGAAGGCAGCUUACCAGGCUACUUCUGACGUUGAGGCACGAAAGCGUGGGUAGCAAACAGGAUUAGAUACCCUUGUAGUC
rnacentral:rRNA from 1 species